rnacentral:rRNA from 1 species
UACGUAGGGUGCAAGCGUUAAUUGGAAUUACUGGGCGUAAAGCGUGCGCAGGCGGUUGUGUAAGACAGAUGUGAAAUCCCCGGGCUCAACCUGGGAACUGCAUUUGUGACUGCACAGCUGGAGUGCGGCAGAGGGGGAUGGAAUUCCGCGUGUAGCAGUGAAAUGCGUAGAUAUGCGGAGGAACACCGAUGGCGAAGGCAAUCCCCUGGGCCUGCACUGACGCUCAUGCACGAAAGCGUGGGGAGCAAACAGG